GACGAACGCUGGCGGCGUGCUUAACACAUGCAAGUCGAGCGGUAGGGCCCAGCUUGCUGGGUACACGAGCGGCGAACGGGUGAGUAACACGUGGGUGACCUGCCCCGCACUUCGGGAUAAGCCUGGGAAACUGGGUCUAAUACCGGAUAUUACACAUGGUCUCGCAUGGGGUUGUGUGGAAAGUUUUUUCGGUGUGGGAUGGGCCCGCGGCCUAUCAGCUUGUUGGUGGGGUAACGGCCCACCAAGGCAGCGACGGGUAGCUGGUGUGAGAGCAUGA
rnacentral:rRNA from 1 species